UCCCUGAUAGCUCAGUUGGUAAAGAAUCCGCCUGCAAUGCGGGAGACCUGGGUUCAACCCCUGGGUUGGGAA
rnacentral:tRNA from 1 species